UACGGAGGGUGCGAGCGUUGUCCGGAAUCACUGGGCGUAAAGGGCGCGUAGGCGGCCUGAUAAGUAGGGGGUGAAAUCCUGCGGCUUAACCGCAGGGCUGCCUUCUAAACUGUCGGGCUAGAGCACGGUAGAGGCAGAUGGAAUUCCCGGUGUAGCGGUGGAAUGCGUAGAGAUCGGGAAGAACACCUAUGGCGAAGGCAGCUCUCUGGGACGGUACUGACGCUGAGACGCGAAAGCGUGGGGAGCGAACAGG
rnacentral:rRNA from 1 species